rnacentral:rRNA from 1 species
GGGCCCGCACAAGCGGUGGAGUAUGUGGUUUAAUUCGAUGCAACGCGAAGAACCUUACCAGGGUUUGACAUCCUGCGAAUCUCUUGGAAACAGGAGAGUGCCUUCGGGAACGCAGUGACAGGUGGUGCAUGGCUGUCGUCAGCUCGUGUCGUGAGAUGUUGGGUUAAGUCCCGCAACGAGCGCAACCCACGUCUUUAGUUGCCAGCAUUUAGUUGGGCACUCUAGCGAGACUGCCGGUAAUAAACCGGAGGAAGGUGGGGAUGACGUCAAAUCAUCAUGCCCCUUAUGACCUGGGCUACACACGUGCUACAAUGGCUGGUACAACGAGUCGCAAGUCGGUGACGACAAGCUAAUCUCUUAAAACCAGUCUCAGUUCGGAUUGUAGGCUGCAACUCGCCUACAUGAAGUCGGAAUCGCUAGUAAUCG